CUAUAUUUGUCGCCGGAUGAAUAUAGACGAGCAUAUCCCUUCUUCGCGUAGGCCUAGUGCGAAGGGGUGGUAUGCUUUUUUUGUG
rnacentral:ncRNA from 1 species